AUACGGAGGGUGCAAGCGUUACUCGGAAUCACUGGGCGUAAAGCGCGCGCAGGCGGUCUUUUAAGUUGGAUGUGAAAGCCUACGGCUCAACCGUAGAACUGCAUCCAAAACUAUCAGACUAGAGUCUGGGAGAGGUAAGUGGAAUUAGUUGUGUAGGGGUAAAAUCCGUAGAGAUAACUAGGAAUACCAAAAGCGAAGGCAACUUACUGGAACAGCACUGACGCUGAGGCGCGAAAGCGUGGGGAGCAAACAGGAUUAGAAACCCUAGUAGUCC
rnacentral:rRNA from 1 species